rnacentral:rRNA from 1 species
ACAGCCGGCCAUAGCAGCGGGGUCCCACCCGGUCCCAUUCGAACCCGGAAGUUAAACCCGUUGACGCCGACGCGUUAGUGAAGUGCGCGAGCCUUCGCGAAUCGUCGGUGCCGGCGCCC